GUGACUAUUUUUAGGUGGUUUUUCCUCUGUGUCUCAUCCCCAGCUCUCGGCUGCUGUGCCUUAGUGGUGUUCCCAUUCCUCCCUCACAGCAGCGGUCCUGUGGUUUCAGGGGCGAGCGGGGGACAUGUCCCUGGGGACUGACUCCUGCUUGCUCCCGAGGGGCACUUUGGCAGGGCGGACGUUGGAAGCUGAACGCAGAGGAAGCAUCUGGAAGCAGAGCCCUUGGCCUCAGCCCCCUGUCCUGGAUGCUGAUAGGGGUUCAUGCUGGGAAAUCCUUUCUGGUGGUCUGGGGACUCUGAGCCGCUGAGGACGUCUUUGUGGAGGCGUGGCAUUUGUUAAAAAGGAGACAGUGAACCUUGCAGAGGAGUGAGCUCUGGGCAGAAUUCAUGCCAGGAAGACGUGGCCUCAAGGUAGAUGCCUUCCUCUCCUGCCUGGGAAACGACAGGUCCAGCCAGCAGCAGGACAUGGCUUCGCCCAGCAGGAGUUGAUGUGGGGCUGGGGAGGUGGCGUCUGCCUGUCUGCCCGUGUUCCCAGGAGCACCCCAAGGCCUCCACAUGUGGCUGCAGACUUUGCAGCUGGAGCUCCAGCCCUUCUCUCCAGCAGGGAGGGGGUGUCUUCCGCCUCAGUGUGAACACCAUUCGUAGGGAAGUGUUCCCUGUCCGUGAAUGAGGGGCGAGUGUUACAUAACACACGCAGAAAUAGACUUACGCUCAAGUGUGUUCUGAGGGUGGGGAGAGCUCUAUUUAAGCUGCACGUGAAGUGGGCUGCUUCUGCCAUCUGGAAUCCUGGGUGACACUGAGCAGAGUAUGUUCUGCUCACGGAGGACAGAGGUU